rnacentral:rRNA from 1 species
AGCAGCCGCGGUAAUUCCAGCUCCAAUAGCGUAUAUUAAAGUUGUUGCAGUUAAAAAGCUCGUAGUUGAAUUUCGGGGUUAGUAGGCUGGUCGUGCCACAGGUAUGCACUGGUCUUACUGAUUCCUCCCUCCUGAUGAACCGUAAUGCCAUUAAUUUGGUAUUGCGGGGAGUCUGGACUGUUACUUUGAAAAAAUUAGAGUGUUUAAAGCAGGCUAACGCUUGAAUACAUUAGCAUGGAAUAACGAAAUAGGACGUUCGAUCCUAUUUUGUUGGUUUCUAGGAUUGACGUAAUGAUUAAUAGGGAUAGUUGGGGGCAUUAGUAUUCAAUUGUCAGAGGUGAAAUUCUUGGAUUUAUUGAAGACUAACUACUGCGAAAGCAUUUGCCAAGGAUGUUUUCAUUAAUCAAGAACGAAAGUUAGGGGAUCGAAGACGAUCAGAUACCGUCGUAGUCUUAACCAUAAACUAUGCCGACUAGGGAUCGGAUGAUGUUAAUUUUUUAAUGACUCAUUCGGCGCCUUACG